UGUGUUUUGUUUAGAGGAAAUAAAGCGUGAAGAGGAAGCGACGAUGCAGCAGGUGAAACGUCGGAGCUGAAGCCAGCAGCUCAGGAUUUGGAGUUCUACCAACACAAGAUUAGAUUAGAUUCAACUACCAACACAAAGACCACUGAAACACGGAGGUCCUGCUUGUUCCCUCGUUUCUCUGGAUGAUGUAACACCUGAUGUCUCCGCCCGUCUCUCACAGUUCAACAUUACGACACUUUGAUGUUCAAUAGAAGAUAAACAGAACGUGAUGGUCCGACGGUCAAGUCAGCACAUCAAACAUCAACAGCAUGGAAAUCGGUCAGCAGUCAGUAGAAACCUUCCUGGACCAUGAUGCAUCUGUCUCCAGGUCGAGAAACGUCAAGUCUGACCUGAAUCAGUCAUCCACCAACUCUUAAUACAAAUCCUGGACUGGAAAUAAAGAUCAUGACAGGUUCCUGAGGUGAAAGAAAAUGAUCCUGAUCGCUAUAAACAUAGGGGGAAACGUCAUGAUUGACAGCUGGAGCUGACUCUCGAUUGGUCGAGGAUCAACUGCAAAUGGCUUCUGCACAGAAUCAAGAUGGCAGCUCCAUUUCUGGACAGUGGGAGGAAGUGGAAACGUGUGGUCCACCUUUAUUUAGUCUCUGGGAACGACACAGCAAAGUGUCUCAAACUAGAUCCAGGGGCCCGAGAGCAGAGCCCUGGGGAACCCCACAGUGACAUUUCAUCUGAAAUUACCGCACACAAAAAUCUUCACGUAAAACACAAACCAGGUGAGAUCUAAAGAAGAGAGGUGGACAGAGCUGUGAGAUGCUGAUGUAACUUCUGGGUCUGAACUCAUACGAAGUCACGUUCCUCGACCACGAACAUCGUCCGAUGUUUCCUUCCCUGCACGCGAGCCAAUCACAGUCCAGACUGUUCUCUCCUGUGAUUUCAGUCUUUGUGGAGAAGUUGCAUCAGGAGACUCGUUUGACUCGUUUAUGUUUGACUCAUGUCAAACUGUAUCUUCGUUGUGGUGCAGAAAGGUCAUUAAUAGAGACGUUGACGUGACUUAGAUCAUCAGUAUGUGGAGACUUGUGUGUUUCUGUGUUGUGUAACUUUGAAUCACAGGUUGUGAAAUACAAAUCUGCACAACCUUCAACUAAUAGCACCUUGUAUAAUAGCAUCAGUCUUUUUGAGUACUUGAGUCUUGAAUUGAUAAUAUCCGUCCCAUCUUUAUUCCAAACUGUUCCUGACCCCACUGCGCAGCGCCCCCUUCAGGUCACAGUAGGUUCAGGCUCCCAUUGGAACGAUUUAAAACUUGAAUCUUCUUUUAGUGACGCCAUUACCUCGAUAAUUAAUUAAUGGCAGGUUACAAACGAAUAUUUAGCACAUGCAGGUUUCAAUGUGACAAAAUCAUUUAAGGUCAAAAUCAGACGAAUUGUCCGAACACUGUUUUAACAGCAUUUUUAAUUAAGUGUGAUUUACAAGAGACGUUGGUCAGGUUUGGUCAAAGAGGAAGAAAAGAGAAAUUACAAACAAACAUUUAAAAAUUAUAUGUUUUAUGUAUUUUAUAAUAUAAAAAUUGUAAUAUUAACAGACUUUAUUUAUGUCGCACUUUACAAAGUUACAAAGUGUUAAACAGACACCAAAUAAAAAAUGUAACAUGUCAAACUAUUGUUUAAUUUUAAACGUAAAGUUUUGAGUUUUUAAGACA